UACGUAGGGGGCAAGCGUUGUCCGGAAUUACUGGGCGUAAAGCGCACGUAGGCGGCUUUGUAAGUUAGAGGUGAAAGCCCGGAGCUCAACUCCAGAACUGCCUUUGAUACUGAAGAUCUUGAGUUCGGGAGAGGUGAGUGGAACUGCGAGUGUAGAGGUGAAAUUCGUAGAUAUUCGCAAGAACACCAGUGGCGAAGGCGGCUCACUGGCCCGAUACUGACGCUGAGGCACGAAAGCGUGGGGAGCAAACAGG
rnacentral:rRNA from 1 species